CAGCCGCCGCGGGAAUACGUAGGUGGCAAGCGUUGUCCGGAAUUAUUGGGCGUAAAGGGCUCGCAGGCGGUUUCUUAAGUCUGAUGUGAAAGCCCCCGGCUCAACCGGGGAGGGUCAUUGGAAACUGGGAAACUUGAGUGCAGAAGAGGAGAGUGGAAUUCCACGUGUAGCGGUGAAAUGCGUAGAGAUGUGGAGGAACACCAGUGGCAAAGGCGACUCUCUGGUCUGUAACUGACGCUGAGGAGCGAAAGCGUGGGGAGCGAACAGGAUUAGAUACCCCAGUAGUCCCUGUCUCUUAUAC
rnacentral:rRNA from 1 species